rnacentral:lncRNA from 1 species
CUUGCUUGCUCGCUUUGUGGUAUCUUCCACAUGCCCCAUUAACCUGUUAGGAGCUGAUGUUCUUUCACGCCUGCAGGCAUCCAUCACCUUUACCCCAGAUGGACAAGUGGAACUAUCCACCCCUCUAUCUGUCUCAGACACCUCAGCUUUGUGCUCCUUACCCCUGAUGCUACAUCUAGAAGAGCCUCAUGGGGAUGCAAUAGACCUAAGGACUAAUUUCCCUGAUUCACUAAAGACUGAUGUUCCCAAGAAGCUGUGGUCCACAGGCCCAGAGGACAUAGGCCAUCUAAAGGUCCCGCCUGUGGUGGUAAAGCUCAUCCCAGGCGUAAAAAUUGCCACGAAAAUCACAGUAUCCUUUGAAACCAGCUCAAGCUGCAGCCAUUACAAUUCAAAUUCAAGCACUCCUGGAGAAGGGUGCUCUUGUCAAAUGUGAAUCACCAUGCAAUACUCCAUUAUUUCCAGUAAAGAAAAAGACUCCAAAAGGCGAACCAGAAAAGUACAGAUUGGUCCAAGACCUCAGAGCGGUAAAUUAAGCCACAGUUUUGGACACUCCAAUAGUGCCCAACCCACACACUCUCCUUUCCGGCGUUCCACCCUCUGCCAAGUACUUCACUGUCAUUGAUCUGGCCAAUGCCUUCUUCAGUGUUCCCCUGGAUCCAACUUGCCAAUAUCUGUUUGCUUUCACACAUGAAAAACAACAGUACACAUGGACUGUCAUGCCCCAAGGGGCACAAAAUUCACCAAGUCAGUUUGCGAAGGCCAUGUGCUCUAUCCUUGAUCCAUGGCAAUCUGACCACCCUGAGGUCGUCCUGCUUCAAUAUGUGGAUGAUUUGCUGCUUUGUGGAGAUGAUAUACCCACAACAGAACAAUGCUCACUUAAUAUUCUUUGCUACCUAGCAGAACAAGGAUGUAAAGCUUCACGUCUCAAGCUGCAAUUCUGCCAACCUACUGUUAUCUUCCUUGGCCAUUGUCUGUCUCAGGGAACCAGACAUCUUACCCGUGACCGAGUUAGAGCAGUACUGGACAUUCCACCUCCAAGGACCUCAAAGUCACUACACGCCUUCCUAGGCCUCAUUUCCUAUUGCCGAGCAUGGAUCCCAGAAGCCUCGCUCCUUAUGCAACCUCUUUAUGAUGCUCUCAAGUCAGACCCAUUUUGCUUGUCCACAGAAGCCCUUGACAACUUCUGUUCUCUCAAACGUGCUAUUGCUUCUGCUCCUGCUCUUGGCCUACCAGACUAUACCAAACCCUUCAAACUGUUUGUUUCCGAAAGACAAGGCCAUGCAACAGGAGUACUCACUCAGGCCCAUGGUCCUGGAGGCCGCCAAAGGCCUAUUGGAUUUUUCUCCUGCCAACUGGAUAUUGUGGCCAGAGGACGUCCCUCUUGCCUUCGGGCCGUCUUUGCUGCCAGAGAGCUCAUUGAAAGAACUGGAGAUCUUGUCCUUGGCCACCCCCUGGUUGUCUUGGCCCCUCAUGAUAUUUCUGCCAUAGUCAACCAGGUCCAACUUAAGCAUGUUACUCCUGCUAGGCAUCUUUGCCUUCAAUGUCACCUUUUGUUGCUUGACAACAUUACCCUCCAAAGAUGUCAAGUUCUCAAUCCGUCCACUCUUCUGCCACUCCCUGAGGGGGGUGUAUACUACGGAUUCAUCAUGGACGAAACUGUAUACUACGGAUUCAUCAUGGACGAAACAUGUUUUUCUUCUCACUGGCACCAUCAAGAAGGAAAUGCAUCCCAACCUAUCCUUUCAUGAUGGACAAGCACUCCUUCAUGACGGAGCAGGAUAUGCCUUCUGUACCAUGUGGUACAAAUCAAACAUCACUCCUGAACCCUGCUAUGAAGAUGAACUCUAUCAUCUGGUCGAAGUAAAACUCACUGCACAAGACUUCUACUGUGAUUCUGAAGGCAACAGUAUGGUCUUGAUUCAUCUACCUCCGGAACUCAAGCAUUUGUACCGUCAUUGGGACACUGCCAUUCCACAUGUCCCUGUGACCAAGUUGAAAACAAUAUCAUGGAAUGAUCUUGGGCCUAUGGCAAAAGCAUGGGCCACUAUGGACGAAUCACAGCUACAGGAAAAUGGUGUUGUCAAAUAUCCAACAACUGACCCUAAAAGCAUGGCCACGUCAUUUCCUGGAAAAUAAGUUCCAAGAUUUAACCAUAGUGAAUGAAUACGACCCAGAUACACCUCAUGACUGUUUUGAACAGAUGAAAAUGGAAACAACACAUCUACCAACUGUGCAUGAAGACCCAUUGGUAGAUCCCGAUCUCACCCUGUUUGUGGACGGCUCAAGAUAUGCUGAUGAAGAAGGAAGAUACCAUACAGGAUAUGCCGUAACCACAACAGAUGAAAUUGUCAAAUCAUCAUCUUUACCAUCAACUAUGUCUGCACAAGAAGCUGAAUUGCAAGCCCUGACUUCAGCAUGCAAGAUCUCUGAAGGAAAGCGCGCCAAUAUCUACACGGAUUCAAGAUAUGCACUGGGCGUGGCUCACGACUUCGGAUUAAUUUGGAAAACAAGAGGAUUUCUUACCACCGCCGGUACACCAAUCAAGCACGGUUCCGCAAUCAAGGAGCUGAUGGACGCCCUCCUACUCCCAGAAGAAGUGGCUAUUUUGAAGAUAAAAGCACAUGGGAAGUUGGACUCAGAUGAAGCAAAGGGCAACCAUCUAGCUGAUCAGGCUGCAAAACAAGCUGCAAAAGAACCACAGGAAGUGGAAAGAAGAGUGUCCGGAAAUGAAGAAACUCCCAUAUUUACUCUGCAGACUCUUCCAACUGACCUGAAAAUCCUGCUGGAACAACAGGCUACAGUUGCCCCUGAAGAAAUACAGAAGUGGAAACAGAAAGGGGCAGUUCUGAAGGAUGGAGUGUACUCCAACAACCUCAAUUUCUGCCUCCCUAAGAAUUUGUACCCAGCAGUCGUACAAUGGGCACACAGACCUGCACAUUUAUCAAAAGAUCUAAUGAAUGCUCUUGUACAAAAAUACUACCUCAUUGUCCCCAUACGAGAUUCUAUUUGGGACUGCACCUAGGCUAGGUUGCUAUUUUCCCCAACAACUACAACUUCAAACUGAUGUUUUAGUAGAUUAUGUAACUGAACUCGCAAAUGCUUUGAACAAAAUCCAUGCCCAAGUUUUCUCUUCAAUUCCAGAUCCUGAUUCUGACACAGGCAACCACAGUCUGCUCCCCGGUGACUGGGUUCUGGUCAAGAAAUUUGUGCGAAAACACACCCUGGAACCAAGAUUUGACGGACCGUUCCAAGUUCUCCUGAUCUCCCCUACCUCUGUCAAAUUGGCCGGAAGGCCUAACUGGAUCCACGCUUCCCAUUGCAAGAAGACACCUGCCCCAGAGGAAGCUAACUCUAUGCAACCAUGUGCCUCUGGUACAUUAUCUCCUUAGUUGGCCUCCUUAAAGCCCAGCAGGUGGCCAUCACCAAAGAUGCUAGUGGGUACACUUUCUGGUAUAAUUCAUCAUGUACCCAUGUGGCUACAUUCACUUUUGAUUACUGUGAUAUUGUAGAGUGCCCAUUCCCUAAGUCACAGAUUCAAGCCAUUUAUAAAGAUAUACCACAAGCAAAAGACCCUUACGUUUGUGUAGUAGAUGAACAAUGGGGUUAUGACUGUAACUACUGGGGGGCUGCGGGAUGGAAUACUGGGCCUGCCUGGGGUUAUAAACCCAAAAGUGCUUUAUCUAAGAUAGACAAUCAGGGUAGAUCCCUCCUUCAAAGAAUGACUUUAAGAAAGCCUGGAGGAAGUACCCCUAUGAAAUUAAUGUUAAAUAUUGAACAUCCUGGCCCCGAGGAUGCAGACCGAUAUGUAAUGGGAAUGUAUUGGAAGAAAGGUUCCUACAACAAAUUAGGUCAUUUCUACCUCAGAGAUAUGUCCCACUCUCCAGAGUGGCAAGGGGCUGAUCAUAUGGUCCCAAAUCCGCUAAAACCACAUAUCCAGUCAUUUAAAGAUAUGAUGGCCAUCGCUAACCCCACUUUUGAAGAUACCAUGGCCGCUGAAACUGGAUUCAAUGACAUUAAUCUGUGGUUAGAAUGGAUGAGGUAUAAUGCUAACAAACAUAAUAAAACAGCAUGUUAUGUAUGUGGCGGUGCCCGACCCCACCUUGGCACCGUCCCCCUAAUUCUCCCUUUAGAGAUAGAAGAUUGCUUCUUAAGCCUUUUUGCCUCCCAAUAUGACUUUAAUAGGUCCCUCUGCAUGGCAUGGACGGCAGAAUACCCUCUCUUAGUUGAAAAUGUUAAGCCACCAGAUGGAAUCACAGUCUAUAGAGGUAAUUACACUUGUUAUGCCGUGUAUGACGGGAUUGGUAAAUUCAUGGGUAACUUUUCUAAAGGUUAUUGCGCCACUUACAGAACUGUUCCUAUACGCCUGUUGCAACACCAUACCAGGUCAUUGGGGGAUAUUUACUGGUUAUGUGGGGAUCUACAGUUAAGAUCUAGGCUGGAAACUGAGUGGUGGGGUGAGUGUACCCUGGCCAAAGUUAUCAUGCCCAUUCAUAUUAUUUCUGAUAAUCAUCAUGACACAUACGACCCUCCACAUACAUCAGCCAGAGUAAGGCGCGAAACCCCAGUAAAAGGCAGUUUUGACCCCCACAUUUACAUAGAUGCCAUUGGGGUGCCUAGGGGGUACCUAAUGAAUUUAAAGCUAGAGAUGAAGUAGCUGUAGGUUUUGAAUCACUUUUUACCAUAGUCACUGCCAACAAAAACCUUAAUUGGAUUAAUUAUAUCUAUUACAACCAACAGCGCUUCGUGAACUACACCAGGGAUGCCCUCCAGGGCUUGGCCGAGCAAUUACAGGCCACAUCCCAAAUGACCUUCCAGAACAGACUGGCCUUAGACAUGAUCUUAGCCGAAAAAGGGGGAGUCUGUAAAAUACUUCCCGACACUAUGACUUGUUGUACUUACAUUCCAGAAAACACAGGUCCUAAGGUAAAGUCACUCUGGCCAUAGCUAAAUUAAAUAGACUCUCAGAAGAGUUAAAGAGAAACUCUGGAGUUACUGAUCCCUGGGAAAAAUGGUUUGGUUGGAUGACUGGUUGGCAGAGAGCUUUAGUCCAGAUUGGUAUUGCCUUACUAAUUUUUCUUUUUAUUCUCGCUCUUCUCAUUUGUUGUGGCCUCCCAUGCCUAAGGAAAUUCAUGCAGAAAACUGUAGACCAAGCAACACCAACCUUCACUCAUCUGACAAUCGAUGAUCAAGACCUCAUCUCACCCUGUAUUCCGCUACAAACUCUCCCUUAUACUGAUGAAGUGCAGAAAGUCUAGGAAGGGACAGUACAGGGACAGCGUCCGUCUUUAUGGGUAGACUGCCGUACGGAGAAGUAGUGGAUAAGCCACUAUGGGUUACCAGCGGAGUGAAGAGUGUUCCUGAACCGUACUGACGGAUGUGCUGCAGCCUGUUAGGGUCAAGAGAGGGAUAGACUUGCACUUUGCAUUAACACUAAGUCAGCGGUCAUGGGGUUUCUGUGUCUUUGGGCUAAUACUUCUUCUGAUACUAACAAAUAAAGUUUUGUCUUUUAGCAAAUAACAUUUUAGGGGGGACUGUUGUAGAAUUAUUAGGCCUCUAUAAAUCUGUAAGGCCCCUUUAAAUCCUCUUGCUAUACCUCUAAGAGGCCCCCAUAGUUUUACAAGAAAGCUUUGUCUAUAGAACAUAGAAUUUGCAUGUCAGCAAGAAAUAGCUUUGAUAAAAUGUGUAUUUACUAAAAGCCUUGAAACCUAACCUUGAGAAACUAACCGUGCCAGCUACACUCUAAAUGGAUGGCUGCCAAAGCACCCCUCCCAUCGAGUGAACACCUCGUGCUAACAAGAUGGCGCCUACAUCUUGUGUCCACUCCCGUGUCAAGGAUGACAUCACCUCUUGAUAGGAGGGUACCUAACUAACCACUUAACACCUGGACCAAUCAAUAGUGUCUAUUUGUCUAUAUCUUGAUUUUCUUCAAUGAUGUAAUAAUGCCUUUAUAAGGGUCUGCGCACCCAUUUUCUGUCAGAAGCCAUUAAACUUCUCUGAAGUUCUUUCAUUACCCUGAACCUUGUGUCUCAGUGUGAAUUUACUUCUGCGUGCACGCAACUUUAUUAUCUUUAAUUUGGACAGGAACAGAUAGUCAUUCAAACUAAUUGGUUUGCAGUAAAUUAUCUAGAACAAGUGUUGCUGUGUAUGCUUUGUGUCAGUAUUCCUGUGUAUUUCUACGUGUAUACAAUUAGAGGCAAUUUCUGUACACCCAAGCCAAUUAUGUCAAUUUAAGAAAAUUUUACACCCCUGAUAUUUUCCGCCUUCCCCUUUGAACUCAAUAUCCCUGCAAUAUAUCCUAUAAUUUAAAAGCUUUAUACUGCCGCCUCCCUUUACCUUGAUUGCCAUAUGGUGCAUACUGUUGCCUGGGGACCAGUGGCUCCAUGUGUAAGUAAAUAUUUCAAAGCACAAUGUUAUGACAUCAUGUCAUGCAAUGUCUUUGCUCUGUAUUGUGUAUUUAGGCUGAAGCGGAGACUUAAGGGGUGUGUGUGCAGCUGGUCAUUAUACACACCUCCUUCUUCACUGAAUUCCUAUGCAAAAUCUAAGCCUAACCAGGCUGGCUUGCCACUCUCAUAGGAUGAACUGUACCAUCAUCCAUGGGGUUUUGGCUAUCAAAAUGUGACAGCUUCCUGUAAAUUGCACUGUUAUUACUCUGCCACGGCUGUGCAUUGGCACCUAAUCUUCCAAAGACACCAUGUGUGCCGUCGAUGGCAUCCGUGCCAUAGGAUGUCAAGCUCUGAACAAGAGGUCCUGCUGGAGCUGGAUGGAUUCUCUGUAUCUGCUUCCAUCUCCUAAUUAUACUUGUUUGCACACUUCCGAUGUCUUUAUAAAAAAAAAAAAAAAAAAAAUUUUUUUUUUGCACCUUUUAUAAUGAUAUGUGUUUUUGUAUUGUCACAUUAGCAGGUAACAUUUAUGCAUCUGCCUACUUCACAGCUUCACAGAUUUCCGAUUAGUCAUCAUCCGCAAGUCCUCCUGAGGUCCAAAUCCUCGUGCCCCUCAAUUAUAUCCCAGCACCAUUUUUCUAUACUUACGUUACAUGUGUCAUAUGUAUCACAUCUCUCUGUCUGCACCUGUAAAACUUGCAGUGUGUGUUUAAACUGCAAUAAAUGUGUUGAUAGAUGCGUAUGUGCAAAUAAAACAUUCAGAGUUACUGGGUUAUUCGAUAAUUGAGAAUUCAAAUGUAAAACCAGAUUAGUUAAAUUGAAAACAAAGAUGUCUUAGAUAAUUUUUCCAGUUCAGCUAAUGUGACCUUACAUUGGAAAUUCUCUUUGAAUUCUAACUUUUGUGAAUAACACUGAUGGUGUUCUUGAUCUAAAUUAGUUACCAAGUUACUUCAAUAGUUAUGAAAAGAUGAUAAUUCACCUGCUACCACUAACUACACCUUAUAAUAGCUUGGCAAUGUAGGACAAUUCUAUUACACGAUAAUGAUAGUUGAAAAACAAAACAGACACUGACUCAUUUAUUCAUUUCCAUUUUUUAGUUUAAUAUUGGUGAGUAAUAAUGGGGAAGGAAUAUGUGUCAGAAAACGUCCAUAUAAAUCUAACAGGGUGUUUCCUUAAAGGGACACUGUAGUCACCAGAACCACUACAGCUUAAAGGGACACUGUAGGCACCCAGACACUUCAGCUCAUUGAAGUGGUCUGGGUGCAAUGAGCUGUGUCCCUUAAGCCUCCAAUAGUAAUUAUUGCAGUUAUUGAGAAACUGCAAUAAUUACUAUCCAGGGUUAACUCAACCUCUAGUGGCUGUCUACCAGACAGCCACUAAAGGAAGUUUCUGGUUUGAAAUAGCCUCCAAAUGCUUUCCUAUGGCAAAGCAUUGGAUUGGCUGAGAAUUUCAUGUUUGAUGAUCUCAGCCAACGAGGCGGAGCAAGGAGAGAACAGCCACGGCUAGGCGCUGAAAAAAGGAGAAUAACAUCACCUUUUUACUGUGUAAAGAGAUGGGAGCCGUGACCUAAAUAGUCAUUUUACACUAUAGUGUCAGGAAUAUGUUUGUGUUCCUAAUAUUAUAGUGUUCCUUUUAUGUGUGAAAUGUUAUUCAAACCUCCCUCUAAAAUGACUUUCACAUUUGCCCAACAGUUGUUGCUGUUGCUUUUUUGUGCAUAUUUGUCUGUCUGCGUUCUACAGAUCUACACAGAAGUCCACUUUUUUCAAGCAAGCUUACUGCACUUCUACUGUAACUUGUGUCUUAAAUAUUUCCACAUUAGUAUCAGGUAUCAGGGGAUAUUUACAGUGUCCUAGCUUCCUUUUUUUUUUUCUCUUUGGUUUCCAGUUUAGCAACUCAGAUUUCUUUUUCUUUUUUUUCUUCUUUUUUUUUACAAUAUUUAUUCUUUUAUAUAUCGGGUGAAACAUGGUACAGUUAAAAAGAAAUACAUUGUUCAAGUUACAAAUUACAAGGUUAAACGCCUAAUGAAUUAAAGUGUACUCUCUAUCUCCUCUAGCAUCAGCGAUGGGGGCGGAGGGGGUGAGCCUAAUGCGCAUGUGAGACGACCCUGAAUCAAUGCUUUCCUAUGUGGAUUUUCAAGAAGCUGGGCGUACUCAUGCAAAGCGUGAGGAUGUCUAGUGACGCUUCAUGGAGUUAAAGGGAUUCUCCAGUGCCAGGAAAACAUAUUGCAGGACCCUGUAGUGCUCCUCUCCCUCCCACACCCCAUCCCAAGUUGCUGAAAGUGUUAAAACCCCUUCAGUGACUUACCCGAGUCCAGCGCUGAUGUCUCUCGGCGCUGGGUCAGGCACCACCUACUCUCCUCCCCCGCCGACGUCAGCUGGCGGGGGAGACCUAAUGCGCAUGGGCGGCAAUGGCCGCAAAUGCGCAUUAGACCUAUGGGAAUUUCGGCAACGCUGGAGGUCCUCACAUAGUGUGAGGACCUCCAGCAUCGUUUAAAACACGUUUCGUGUAAUAAGAACAUGGAAGUCCCUCUAGUGGCUGUCUGAUAGACUUAACCCUGCAAGGUAAUUAAUGCAGUUUAUGAAAACUGCAAUAAUUACACUUGCAGGGUUAAGGGUAGUGGGAGUUGGCACCCAGACCACUCCAAUGGGCAGAAGUGGUCUGGGUGCCUGGAGUGUCCCUUUAAACUCUGUGAAAGGCCAAGAAGUCUGGGAGACAGCCCCUACCUAGAAGCAGUCUUAGCCCUGCAAUAUAAACAUUGUUUCUCUGAAACAGCAAUCUUUUCACUUGCAGGCUUAAGGUGACAGGAACACGGACAGUGCACCCAGUCCAUUUCAAUUAGAUAAAGUAGUUUGAGCGCCUUUAGUGUCCCUUUUUAAGUCACUUAGUUCACAUUUCUUACCCUUUCUGAUUGGGAUUAAUACUCCAAGCGCCACGACACUCCUGGCACCAUAACCACUAUGGUGGGCUGUAUGGGUUUUGGCGCUUGGUGUUUUACGUGUAUUUGUAAAAUUCAUCGAAUAACACUGUAUGUGAUUUUUCACAUAAGAGAUGGAUAAACAGAAAUUAACAAUAGUGACUAUGGCCACAGUCCAGAGGCCACCAAAACAAGGUAAAUACAAAGAGAAAGACUGGAUCCACAUAGCAGUCCAGUUGUAUAGCACCUUGCCAUGAACUCUGUAAAUAUAAAACUAUAUAUAUAUAUAUACUGUAUAUAUAACACAGGUAGGGGAGGUGUUUCCCUGGGUUAUCUGUUUGCUUCAGCCAAUAAUAUGGUUUGAAGGCCAAGUAGGAAGUGUAGCCGCGAGGGUGAUUCUGGGAGUUGUGGUCCACAGUUAGCUUUAGUCAUAUCUAGUACUGGAGCGAGGUACUACAUAUCCCGGCAUGCAUCUGGAGUGACCUGGAGCUGUGUCUGCAGUAGGAUUGCAGAGAGAUAUCUGCUGAUUUCCCAGGGAGAGGUAAUUAGCUGCAAUAACUACACAGAUUUGGGCUUCUGUACCCCUUGCUGGUCAUUCUUUUACCAUGUGACUUUCUGCUCCUCUUUGCUAUAGCCAUGACUUUGUCACCUUGUCACUUACCUGUCAAUAUGUCUGCUAUUGUGUCACCUACUUACCCCUCUCCCAACUAUAGUGAUACAUAUCUGCCUCUAUUUACUUCAUCCUGUUACCCUGUCCAUUUCUCUACUUCAUUACCUUGGCAGGUAUCAGCUCUUCCCAAUACUGGCAUCAUGUGCCCCUCUCAGAUAACAUGUCACAAUACCAGCUCCUUUCUAUGGUCCAUUACCACCUACCUGCCCUUCUAUAUGCCCCCUCUAUCUCUAAUGCUCUCACAUAACUGCCCCUCUAUCUCUAAUGCUCUCACAUAACUGCCCCUCUAUCUCUAAUGCUCUCACAUAACUGCCCCUCUAUUUCUAAUGCUCUCACAUAACUGCCCCUCUAUCUCUAAUGCUCUCACAUAACUGCCCCUCUAUCUCUAAGGCUCUCACAUAUCUACCCCACUCUCUCUAAGGCUCUCACAUAUCUACCCCACUCUCUCUAAGGCUCUCACAUAUCUACCCCACUCUCUCUAAGGCUCUCACAUAUCUACCCCAUUCUCUCUAAGGCUCUCACAUAUCUACCCCACUCUCUCUAAGGCUCUCACAUAUCUACCCCACUCUCUCUAAGGCUCUCACAUAUCUACCCCUCUCUCUCUAAGGCUCUCAUAUAUCUACCCCUCUCUCUCUAAGGCUCUCACAUAUCUACCCCUCUCUCUCUAAGGCUCUCACAUAUCUACCCUUCUCUCUUUAAGGCUCUCACAUAUCUACCCUUCUCUCUCUAAGGCUCUCACAUAUCUACCCCUCUCUCUCUAAGGCUCUCACAUAUCUACCCUUCUCUCUCUAAGGCUCUCACAUAUCUACCCUUCUCUCUCUAAGGGUCUCACAUAUCUACCCCUCUCUCUCUAAGGCUCUCACAUAUCUACCCUUCUCUCUCUAAGGCUCUCACAUAUCUACCCCUCUCUCUCUCUAAGGCUCUCACAUAUCUACCCCUCUCUCUCUCUAAGGCUCUCACAUAUUUGCCCCACUUUCUCUAAUGCUCUCACCUAUCUGCCCCUCUGUCUAUCAGCUAUAGCGUAACUGCCCCUCUCUCUCGAAUGCUCUCACAUAUCUGCCCUCUCUCUCGAAUGCUCUCACAUAUCUGCCCUCUCUCUCGAAUGCUCUCACAUAUCUGCCCCCUCUCUCGAAUGCUCUCACAUAUCUGCCCCCUCUCUCAAAUGCUCUCACAUAUCUUCCCUCUAUCUCUAAGGCUCUCACAUAUCUGCCCCUCUGUCUAUCAGCUAUAGCUUAUCUGCCGCUCUCUUGGUUUCUGGCAUAUCAACCCUUCUCUCUUUUUUAUGUUCUCACAUAUCGCUGUUGUACAAGAAAUAUUUGUUCUCUGAAUAAUGAUUCUUUUCUAAAUUUAACUGUAGAUCAGUCAUUGAGAUCAUUGGGACCGUUAUGUACAGAAUAGAUCAGCAGAAUGUUCUGUGAUCUACAUUUCUGAAAAUAUUACCACUAAAUCACCAUAAGGACAUUUUUUCGAAACGCUGGUUCUUGGCGCAGCAUUAUUAUUUCCUAGAGUUCCCACUCUCUCCACGUUAUUCAGCGGCCCCUAGAGGUGACUCUUUCUUAUUUUAUGUCAUUUUACAUAGAUGUGUCUCUGUAGCUUGUUUUACGUUAACAGGGAUAUAGUCUCCCUUACUGUCACUGCUUGCNNNNNNNNNNNNNNNNNNNNNNNNNNNNNNNNNNNNNNNNNNNNNNNNNNNNNNNNNNNNNNNNNNNNNNNNNNNNNNNNNNNNNNNNNNNNNNNNNNNNAGCUACUGUAAUUUUACCCAUUGAGGGCCAGCCCACCACUUUCCUAGUUGACACAGGUGCAGCCCAAAGUGUUCUGAGAGAACAAGACCUGCCUGAUACCUCAUUUCUUUCCAAUAUUGAUGUCUCCUGUGUUGGGGUGGACGGCCUUCCAAGGCAAAGUCCCCUGUCCACCCCACUGCGGGUUGGUAACUGCCACAACUUGCUUGCUCGCUUUGUGGUAUCUUCCACAUGCCCCAUUAACCUGUUAGGAGCUGAUGUUCUUUCACGCCUGCAGGCAUCCAUCACCUUUACUCCAGAUGGACAAGUGGAACUAUCCACCCCUCUAUCUGUCUCAGACACCUCAGCUUUGUGCUCCUUACCCCUGAUGCUACAUCUAGAAGAGCCUCAUGGGGCUGCAAAAGACCUAAGGACUAAUUUCCCUGAUUCACUAAAGACUGAUGUUCCCAAGAAGCUGUGGUCCACAGGCCCAGAGGACAUGGGCCAUCUAAAGGUCCCGCCUGUGGUGGUAAAGCUCAUCCCAGGCGUAAAAUUGCCACGAAAAUCACAGUAUCCUUUGAAA